AAGCUGCGGUAUUAUAAAAGGUGAAGGUCCAAGGCUUUUACGCUUCCGCUUGCUCACUCUCUCGCUCCCUCUUCCUCUUCCUCCACACACCAUGGUAUAAUUUCUCAUUUGAAGACGCUGGCAUACCUGGCUGUGUGGCUGUGCUGUUAAAAGCACCGGCCCAAUUAUAGCAUAACACCUAGCCUUACGGUUUCCAUGGCUGCGCGAUGUAUCUGUCCCGCGGGACGCGGCGUGGAGGAACGAGCGUCUUAUCAACCAUCACCCUGCUCCUGGUCGUUGUUUGGAGAACAGCAGUGCAUCUUUUCCAUACAGCAAUGGAAACGCUAUGGAAGAAAGAAAGACAUGCCGGUUUGUAAUGACAUGAAGGUACCUGUCUAAGGGGACGUGUGUCAGCAACAUAUUCUGGUGCCGUGUUUUAAGGAGAAACUCACCAAUUUAUGAAACAGCUGGCAGAUAUUGUGUGUUAUGGUUUGGAGCUGUAUUGUUAUGUACAGUUGGGUCGGUUAAGGUGGAGAUCUCCACAGCGAUGGUGACGUGCCUUCCUCCACUGCAGCAGCUCAUUGGGUUUGCUCAUUCACGCCUCACCGUGAGCCACAGGCCCAGGCCUUCAGGCGUUUUGCCUCCCACAGAGCUGGAGCUUCUCUUCCUCUCACUCUUCCACACCCCGAGGAGAAAAGCCGGAUAAGGUCGCUGCUGAGAUCCGCACCUUAAUUUGGUUACAAAGUAACGAGUAAAUGUUCAAUAU